rnacentral:rRNA from 1 species
CCUACGGGUGGCAGCAGUGGGGAAUAUUGGACAAUGGGCGAAAGCCUGAUCCAGCCAUGCCGCGUGUGUGAAGAAGGCCUUCGGGUUGUAAAGCACUUUCAGUGGGGAAGAAAGCCUUGGGGCUAAUACCCUCGAGGAAGGACAUCACCCACAGAAGAAGCACCGGCUAACUCCGUGCCAGCAGCCGCGGUAAUACGGAGGGUGCGAGCGUUAAUCGGAAUUACUGGGCGUAAAGCGCGCGUAGGCGGUCUGAUAAGCCGGUUGUGAAAGCCCCGGGCUCAACCUGGGAACGGCAUCCGGAACUGUCAGGCUAGAGUGCAGGAGAGGAAGGUAGAAUUCCCGGUGUAGCGGUGAAAUGCGUAGAGAUCGGGAGGAAUACCAGUGGCGAAGGCGGCCUUCUGGACUGACACUGACGCUGAGGUGCGAAAGCGUGGGUAGCAAACAGGAUUAGAUACCCUAGUUAGUC